rnacentral:rRNA from 1 species
AAUGGACGAAAGCCUGAACCAGCCAUGCCGCGUGAAGGAUGAAGGUCCUCUGGAUUGUAAACUACUUAUAUCUGGGACGAAAAAAGGGAAUUCUUUCUCACUUGACGGUACCAUAUGAAUAAGCACCGGCUAACUCCGUGCCAGCAGCCGCGGUAAUACGGAGGGUGCAAGCGUUAUCCGGAUUCACUGGGUUUAAAGGGUGCGUAGGUGGGUUGGUAAGUCAGUGGUGAAAUCCCCGAGCUUAACUUGGGAACUGCCAUUGAUACUAUCAGUCUUGAAUACCGUGGAGGUCAGCGGAAUAUGUCAUGUAGCGGUGAAAUGCUUAGAUAUGACAUAGAACACCAAUUGCGAAGGCAGCUGGCUACCCGAAUAUUGACACUGAGGCACGAAAGCGUGGGGAUCAAA